GCCCCCGUAGCUCAGUUGGAUAGAGCAUCGGUUUCCUAAACCGAGGGCCACUGGUUCGAAUCCAGUCGGGGGUA
rnacentral:tRNA from 1 species